GCCCGGUUAGCUCAAUCGGUAGAGCGUGAGACUCUUAAGACUUUGGUCAUCUCAAGGUUGCGGGUUCGACCCCCGCAUCGGGCU
rfam:Gaeumannomyces graminis var. tritici R3-111a-1 unplaced genomic scaffold supercont2.2, whole genome shotgun sequence.